rnacentral:rRNA from 1 species
UAGGGAAUAUUAGAAAUGGACGAAAGUCUGAUCUAGCAACACCGCGUGUGCGAUGAAGGCCUUCGGGUCGUAAAGCACUUUUUGGAAGGAAUAGGAAGGAAUGUACUUCCAGAAUAAGUCUCGGCUAACUACGUGCCAGCAGCCGCGGUAACACGUAGGAGGCGAACGUUAUCCGGAUUUACUGGGCGUAAAGCGCGUGUAGGUGGUUCUGUAAGUAGGGCGUGAAAGCUCCCGGCUCAACUGGGAGAGGCCGUUCUAAACUGCAGAACUAGAGGAUGGUAGAGGGAGGUGGAAUUUCAGGUGUAGCGGUGGAAUGCGCAGAUAUCUGGAGGAACACCGGUGGCGAAGGCGGCCUCCUGGACCAUUCCUGACACUCAGACGCGAAAGCUAGGGUAGCAAACG